AAAUUGAAGAGUUUGAUCAUGGCUCAGAUUGAACGCUGGCGGCAGGCCUAACACAUGCAAGUCGAACGGUAACAGGAAGCAGCUUGCUGCUUCGCUGACGAGUGGCGGACGGGUGAGUAAUGUCUGGGAAACUGCCUGAUGGAGGGGGAUAACUACUGGAAACGGUAGCUAAUACCGCAUAACGUCGCAAGACCAAAGAGGGGGACCCUCGGGCCUCUUGCCAUCGGAUGUGCCCAGAUGGGAUUAGCUUGUUGGUGGGGUAACGGCUCACCAAGGCGACGAUCCCUAGCUGGUCUGAGAGGAUGACCAGCCACACUGGAACUGAGACACGGUCCAGACUCCUACGGGAGGCAGCAGUGGGGAAUAUUGCACAAUGGGCGCAAGCCUGAUGCAGCCAUGCCGCGUGUAUGAAGAAGGCCUUCGGGUUGUAAAGUACUUUCAGCGGGGAGGAAGGGAGUAAAGUUAAUACCUUUGCUCAUUGACGUUACCCGCAGAAGAAGCACCGGCUAACUCCGUGCCAGCAGCCGCGGUAAUACGGAGGGUGCAAGCGUUAAUCGGAAUUACUGGGCGUAAAGCGCACGCAGGCGGUUUGUUAAGUCAGAUG
rnacentral:rRNA from 1 species